rnacentral:rRNA from 1 species
AGUGAACGCUGGCGGUAGGCCUAACACAUGCAAGUCGAACGGCAGCACAGUAAGAGCCUGCUCUUACGGGUGGCGAGUGGCGGACGGGUGAGGAAUACAUCGGAAUCUACUUUUUCGUGGGGGAUAAUGUAGGGAAACUUACGCUAAUACCGCAUACGACCUACGGGUGAAAGCAGGGGAUCUUCGGACCUUGCGCGAUUGAAUGAGCCGAUGUCGGAUUAGCUAGUUGGCGGGGUAAAGGCCCACCAAGGCGACGAUCCGUAGCUGGUCUGAGAGGAUGAUCAGCCACACUGGAACUGAGACACGGUCCAGACUCCUACGGGAGGCGGCAGUGGGGAAUAUUGGACAAUGGGCGCAAGCCUGAUCCAGCCAUACCGCGUGGGUGAAGAAGGCCUUCGGGUUGUAAAGCCCUUUUGUUGGGAAAGAAAAGCAGCAGGUUAAUACCCCGCUGUUCUGACGGUACCCAAAGAAUAAGCACCGGCUAACUUCGUG